GGAUGCGAUAGAGGCGCGGUAAGCAUUAGUAUCUGUGUGAUAAUGGAUGCCAUCCACAGGGUGGCCGACAGCGGGGAUUUAUGUCCCGGAGGCCGGCAGGCCGGAGAACACAGGGAAAGGGAUUACUGCCGAAACAGAUUCUGUCUGCCGGCGGAAUGUGUUGGGAUGCAGUCAAACAGGCUGCAUACUCUCACUUUUAAAGUGGUGGCGCUAUUGGCUGG
rnacentral:ncRNA from 2 species